ensembl:snRNA U6 U6 spliceosomal RNA
GUGCAUGCUUCAGUGGCACAUAUACUAAAAUUGGAACAAUACAGAGAUUAGCAUGGCCCCUGUGCAAGGAUAACAUUCAAAUUUGUGAAGUGGUCCAUAUUUUU